CUGCCUGGUAGCAAGGGACAUAUACCUGUGGGCGA
rnacentral:tRNA from 1 species